UCUAUAACUCGAGAUAUGGGUUGAACACCGAACAGUGUCUGGGUUGCAGGAGAGAUUUAGACUUCUCUUUUGUGCUAGGAUUUGAACUUUAAAAUGUCAGUUUUGAAUCUUAGCCUCUCUAUGAAUGUUUUAGGCCUAUAUUUUAGCUUUCUAUC
rfam:Populus trichocarpa scaffold_7_contig_158, whole genome shotgun sequence.